AUUCCCAACUUUGCAAGUGUGUAAGGAAUUUGAAGUCCCCACUUUGUUCAUAUAACAAAAAACUAAGCAAACUAACACAACAUUAAUUCUUCUUAGGUCUAGCAGAGAAGUGAUGUCAUAGAGCAAAUCACUGCCUCUGAAAUGGAGCAAGAGAAAGCAAAGAUAGAUAAUACAACUUACCUAAGCAGAAAGCAAUGCCCUAGGAAUGAAUUUUGAAGUAUAAUUGGCAAAUUGCUGAAAGACUAUGUGGACAAAUCAGUGCAGAAAUAAAAGAGUCCCUAAAAGAUGACAGAACUUUAUAAAGACAGGAUGGCUGGUCAGCUAGCUCCAGCCCUGAGGUCAUCACUCAUCAAGAGGAGCUAAUCCCAAGGACAGCAGGAUCUGCUUCUUCUCUUGAAUUUCAGAGUGAGAAACCCAUCAGGCCACUAAACAGGAAUGCCAAGGAGGAGCAUGAAGCACACUGAGAAGAGUGGAUGAAGAGUAUGUAGAAGAAUUCAAAAGCAUUUGCUGGUGGUGCCUAUGGAGCCACUGAGUCUGCCUAUUUGACUGCAGCCACCUGUCCCAGAGCUGCUUAGAUGUAAAUGUGAUAUCAAUUUAGAUGGUAUUCUGUGCUUGAACUUAGAGUGAAAAUAAUCAUGGCAUCAGAUAGGUCCGUGGUUGAACAGUGAUAAUGUUCCUUCUUUGAGGUCUGUGCUUGCAAAACUUUAAAAAUCUCUUUCAGUCUCCAUCUUUUUGUCUGUAAAAAAAGAACACAUGCUAACAGAAAAGAAUAAAUACAAUGAUGUUUGCAAA